AAUCAACGCUGGCGGCGUGCCUCAGACAUGCAGGUCGAACGAUUAAGACUUCCUUCGGGAAGUGCAUAAAGUGGCGCACGGGUGGGUAACACGUAAGUAAUCUACCCUCGAGUGGGGAAUAACGUUCGGAAACGGACGCUAAUACCGCAUAAUGCAGCGGCAUCGCAAGAUGACAGUUGUUAAAGGAGUAAUUCGCUUGAGGAGGAGCUUGCGGCAGAUUAGCUAGAUGGUAAGGUAACGGCUUACCAAGGCUACGAUCUGUAUCCGGUCUAAGAGGACGGUCGGACACACUGACACUGAAUAACGGGUCAGACUCCUACGGGAGGCAGCAGUCGGGAAUUUUGGGCAAUGGGCGAAAGCCUGACCCAGCAACGCCGCGUGAAGGAUGAAGUAUUUCGGUAUGUAAACUUCGAAAGAAUGGGAAGAAUAAAUGACGGUACCAUUUAUAAGCUCCGGCUAACUACGUGCCAGCCGCCGCGGUAAAAC
rnacentral:rRNA from 1 species